rnacentral:tRNA from 1 species
GCCUGGCUGGCUCAGUUGGUGGAGCAUGUGACUUUUGAUCUCAGGGUUGUGAGUUCAAGCCCCAUGUUGGGUC